GACGAACGCUGGCGGCGUGCUUAACACAUGCAAGUCGAACGGAAAGGCCCUGCUUUUGUGGGGUGCUCGAGUGGCGAACGGGUGAGUAACACGUGAGUAACCUGCCCUUGACUUUGGGAUAACUUCAGGAAACUGGGGCUAAUACCGGAUAGGAGCUCCUGCUGCAUGGUGGGGGUUGGAAAGUUUCGGCGGUUGGGGAUGGACUCGCGGCUUAUCAGCUUGUUGGUGGGGUAGUGGCUUACCAAGGCUUUGACGGGUAGCCGGCCUGGGAGGGUGACCGGCCACAUGGGGACUGAGAUACGGCCCAGACGCCUACGGGAGGCAGCAGUGGGGAAUAUUGCACAAUGGGCGGAAGCCUGAUGCAGCAACGCCGCGUGCGGGAUGACGGCCUUCGGGUUGUAAACCGCUUUCGCCUGUGACGAAGCGUGAGUGACGGUAAUGGGUAAAGAAGCACCGGCUAACUACGUG
rnacentral:rRNA from 1 species